UACGUAGGGUGCAAGCGUUAAUCGGAAUUACUGGGCGUAAAGCGUGCGCAGGCGGUUAUGCAAGACAGAUGUGAAAUCCCCGGGCUCAACCUGGGAGCUGCAUUUGUGACUGCAUGGCUAGAGUACGGUAGAGGGGGAUGGAAUUCCGCGUGUAGCAGUGAAAUGCGUAGAUAUGCGGAGGAACACCGAUGGCGAAGGCAAUCCCCUGGACCUGUACUGACGCUCAUGCACGAAAGCGUGGGGAGCAAACAGG
rnacentral:rRNA from 1 species